rnacentral:ncRNA from 1 species
GGCCGGGGGUGGACUAAUACAAUACCGGAAACGGAAAUACGUCCGGUGCUCCACAAGCACUUUGAGCCCCUGGCCGCCUGAGU